AGUCGAGCGAGUCUGCCUUGAAGAUCGGAGUGCUUGCACUCUGUGAAACAAGAUACAGGCUAGCGGCGGACGGGUGAGUAACACGUGGGUAACCUGCCCAAGAGAUCGGGAUAACACCUGGAAACAGAUGCUAAUACCGGAUAACAACAGAUGAUGCCUAUCAACUGUUUAAAAGAUGGUUCUGCUAUCACUCUUGGAUGGACCUGCGGUGCAUUAGCUAGUUGGUAGGGUAACGGCCUACCAAGGCGAUGAUGCAUAGCCGAGUUGAGAGACUGAUCGGCCACAUUGGGACUGAGACACGGCCCAAACUCCUACGGGAGGCAGCAGUAGGGAAUCUUCCACAAUGGACGCAAGUCUGAUGGAGCAACGCCGCGUGAGUGAAGAAGGGUUUCGGCUCGUAAAGCUCUGUUGUUGGUGAAGAAGGACAGGGGUAGUAACUGACCUUUGUUUGACGGUAAUCAAUUAGAAAGUCACGGCUAACUACGUGCCAGCAGCCGCGGUAAUACGUAGGUGGCAAGCGUUGUCCGGAUUUAUUGGGCGUAAAGCGAGUGCAGGCGGCUCGAUAAGUCUGAUGUGAAAGCCUUCGGCUCAACCGGAGAAUUGCAUCAGAAACUGUCGAGCUUGAGUACAGAAGAGGAGAGUGGAACUCCAUGUGUAGCGGUGAAAUGCGUAGAUAUAUGGAAGAACACCGGUGGCGAAGGCGGCUCUCUGGUCUGUUACUGACGCUGAGGCUCGAAAGCAUGGGUAGCGAACAGGAUUAGAUACCCUGGUAGUCCAUGCCGUANACGAUGAGUGCUAAGUGUUGGGAGGUUUCCGCCUCUCAGUGCUGCAGCUAACGCAU
rnacentral:rRNA from 1 species